rnacentral:sRNA from 1 species
UAACGUCUUGAGGUGCACCGGGAGU